UACGGGGGGGGCAAGCGUUGUUCGGAAUUACUGGGCGUAAAGGGCUCGUAGGCGGCCAACUAAGUCAGACGUGAAAUCCCUCGGCUUAACCGGGGAACUGCGUCUGAUACUGGAUGGCUUGAGAUUGGGAGAGGGAGACUGGAAUUCCUGGUGUAGCGGUGAAAUGCGCAGAUAUCGGGAGGAACACCUGUGGCGAAAGCGGCUCACUGGACAGUAACUGACGCUGAUGCACGAAAGCUAGGGGAGCAAACAGG
rnacentral:rRNA from 1 species